UAUUGUAAUGGAAUGGCAAUUACAUUGCGAUAUUUGGUUCUCAUUUAGUAAUAACUUAUACAACUUCAUACAUUGUUUGAUUCACUAGUACUAAAAGUUAGAAUAGAUUUGUAAUGUGAGAAAUAUAUUCUUUUAACCUUGAAAAAUCAUAAUGAGAGCCACACACGCCUAUCAUGACCUUUAUAAAACUUGUAAGAGCUUUAGGGAUAUGAAAAGGAAACAUAACAAAAGUUUUAUUGAUGAGAAUUAAUGGAAUACCAUAACGUUUCUAGACAACAAAAGCUUGUUUUGUUGAAUGGUUGGCUACUUAUUUUUUCCUAAUUGUAUGGAUUAUGGAAAAUUUUAUGGAAAUUGAUGUUAUAGAUUUUCAUUUUAUUUGAAUAUCAUGCAUGGUGGGUUGAUUAUUGUGGAACAAAAAUUUAGAGUAUGACAUAAUAGCAUGCAUUAUGUUUGCAAUUCGGGGAUAAUCUUCUUG
rnacentral:lncRNA from 1 species